UACAGAGGUGGCAAGCGUUGUUCGGAAUUACUGGGCGUAAAGGGCUCGUAGGCGGCCAACUAAGUCAGACGUGAAAUCCCCAGGCUCAACCUGGGAACUGCGUCUGAUACUGGAUGGCUUGAAUCCGGGAGAGGGGAUGCAGAAUUCCAGGUGUAGCGGUGAAAUGCGUAGAUAUCUGGAGGAAUACCGGUGGCGAAGGCGGCAUCCUGGACCGGCAUUGACGCUGAGGAGCGAAAGCUAGGGGAGCAAACGGG
rnacentral:rRNA from 1 species